AUUGAACGCUGGCGGCAGGCCGAACACCUGCAAGUCGAACGAGUGGCGGACGGGUGAGUACUGUCUGGGAAACUGCCCGAUGGAGGGGGAUAACAACUGGAAACGGUAGCUAAUACCGCAUACCAUCGGAUGUGCCCAGAUGGGAUUAGCUAGUAGGUGGGGUAACGGCUCACCGAGGCGACGAUCCCUAGCUGGUCUGAGAGGAUGACCAGCCAAACGGGAACUGAGACACGGUCCAGACUCCCACGGGAGGCAGCAGUGGGGAAUAUUGCACAGUGGGCGCAAGCCGGAUGCAGCCAUGCCGCGUGUAUGAAGAAGGCCUGCGGGUUGUAAAGUACUUUCAGCGAGGAGGCGUGACUCGCAGAAGAAGCACCGGCUAACUCCGUGCCAGCAGCCGCGGUAAUUC
rnacentral:rRNA from 1 species